UGUUCUUCUUUUGAUCAUCAUGUAGAGGAAACAGGUGAUUGCGAGGAAGUUUUCCCAGAAUUCCUGGAGUUUCUCUAUACCUGAAAGGUAAAACUGAACGAGGAAAACGCCAUUCUACAAAAUCAGUCACAAAUAUUGAAAAUUAUCAGCAGGAAUAAUGGACUCACAGAUUGAACAUAGCAAGGAAGUUGGGUCAGAAGAUUUUCCAGAUAUGGAGGCAGUGAUUGAGAAGUUGAAGAACGUGAAUGAGAAAAUGGAUAUAGUACAAAAAGAAAAUAUGUUCAUCACUAAGAGAUUAAAUUCAGAGGAAGAAUGGAGGUAAAC